GACGAACGCUGGCGGCGCGCCUAACACAUGCAAGUCGAGCGAGAACCGGAGCUUCGGCUCCGGGGACAGCGGCGAACGGGUGAGUAACACGUGGAUAACCUGCCCUCGGCACCGGAAUAGCCCGGGGAAACCCGGAUUAAUGCCGGAUAGCCCCACAUCCCUGCGGGGAACGUGGGAAAAGGUAGCUUCGGCCUCUGGCCGAGGAUGGGUCCGCGGUGGAUUAGCUUGUUGGCGGGGUAAUGGCCCACCAAGGCGCGGAUCCAUAGCUGGUCUGAGAGGACGAUGAGCCACACUGGGACUGAGACACGGCCCAGACUCCUACGGGAGGCAGCAGUGGGGAAUCUUGCGCAAUGGGCGAAAGCCUGACGCAGCGACGCCGCGUGCGGGAAGAAGGCCUUCGGGUUGUAAACCGCUUUCAGGAGAGACGAAGCUACUCGGGUUAACAGCCCAGAGGGUGACGGUACCUCCAGAAGAAGCCCCGGCUAACUACGUGCCAGCCGCCGCCGUAAUAC
rnacentral:rRNA from 1 species